rnacentral:rRNA from 1 species
CCUACGGGUGGCAGCAGUGAGGAAUAUUGGGCAAUGGAGGCAACUCUGACCCAGCCAUGCCGCGUGAGUGAAGAAGGUUUUCGGAUUGUAAAGCUCUUUCGGAUGUGACGAUGAUGACGGUAGCAUCUAAAGAAGCCCCGGCUAACUUCGUGCCAGCAGCCGCGGUAAUACGGAGGAUGCGAGCGUUAUCCGGAUUUAUUGGGUUUAAAGGGUGCGUAGGCGGGCUUUUAAGUCAGCGGUAAAAAUUCGGGGCUCAACCCCGUCCGGCCGUUGAAACUGGGGGCCUUGAGUGGGCGAGAAGAAGGCGGAAUGCGUGGUGUAGCGGUGAAAUGCAUAGAUAUCACGCAGAACCCCGAUUGCGAAGGCAGCCUUCCGGCGCCCUACUGACGCUGAGGCACGAAAGUGCGGGGAUCGAACAGGAUUAGAUACCCGUGUAGUC